AACGAACGCUGGCGGCAUGCCUAACACAUGCAAGUCGAACGAUAAGCCACCUUCGGGUGGUGGACAGUGGCGGACGGGUGAGUAACACGUGGGAACCUACCAUUGAGUACGGAAUAACGCAGUGAAAAUUGUGCUAAUACCGUAUACGCCCUUUGGGGGAAAGAUUUAUCGCUCUUUGAUGGGCCCGCGUUAGAUUAGCUAGUUGGUGAGGUAAUGGCUCACCAAGGCUACGAUCUAUAGCUGGUUUGAGAGGAUGAUCAGCCACACUGGGACUGAGACACGGCCCAG
rnacentral:rRNA from 1 species